rnacentral:rRNA from 1 species
UACCCGCGGCCCGAGUGGUGCUCAUUAUUAUUGAGCUUAAAGCGUCCGUAGCCGGCCUUGUAAAUCUUUGGGUAAAUCGAGCAGCUCAACUGUUCGAAUUCCGAGGAGACUGCAAGGCUCGGGACCGGGAGAGGUUCGAGGUACUCUCGGGGUAGGGGUAAAAUCCUGUAAUCCUGAGAGGACCACCAGUGGCGAAGGCGUCGAACUAGAACGGAUCCGACGGUGAGGGACGAAGCCCUGGGGCGCAAAC